rnacentral:rRNA from 1 species
AUGCCAGCAAGCUCACUCACCCAGAAUCGGAGUCCUUAUUAUCGUUCGGUCUUGCAGAAGGCGAGGAGGCGUCGCGUGCCGGCGUUCGGGGAGUGGAACUACAACUACCACCACGACGAGCCGGAGGCGACAGCGGCACUUCCGCCGGCCGCGUGCAACGCCACGCCGGAGCCGGAGGCCUGCAGCGACGUGUGGUUCAGGUACUCGCCGCCCCCGCGCAAACCCACGCCCAAGAAGCAGGCGAGGAGGCGGCCCGAGGGCGACGUGUCCCGGGAGCGUUCCAAGGCGUCCAGGGACGCCGCCGCGGCCAAGAGCGGCGGCUCCAGGCGGGUGGUGCGGCCAGUCAACGGGGACCUGUACCAGGUGCCACCGCCGGAGCUCGCCCCCCACCGGGCGCCGAGGAAGACAGGGAGCCUGUGGAUGGGAUGCCUGGGCCUCAGCUCAUGCGUCCACUGA